rnacentral:rRNA from 1 species
CAAACUGGGAUUAGAUACCCCACUAUGCUCAGCCCUAAACUUAAGUAAUUUACAAACAAAAUUACUCGCCAGAGAACUACUAGCAAUAGCCUAAAACUCAAAGGACUUGGCGGUGCUUUAUAUCCCUCUAGAGGAGCCUGUUCU